AAGCAGCCAGAUGAGAGCGGAGAUAGGAAAAGAGAAAAGAAAAGUAGAUGUAAGAGGUCAGGAGAGGGGGGAGUUUGACUUAUCUGUCCAUCCUGAGAGCUUCAAAUGGGGGUGAAGACAUUUUUCUGCACACAGAAGGAGGAGGAAGUGAUGUCAGAGUGAUGUCAGUAAGGCUGCCCUCUGUCAAACAAGAUCAGGAGUCUGUCAGCCUCAGCUCUGUUGAAGGAGAUACAGAGUCUUCUGCUAAUGAUGUGUUUUAACAGUGAUGACCCUGUGAAACCUCUAGCAGGAAACUGCUAAGUGCCUGAAAGGAAGGAGAUGUUCUCAGCCUUAAAUUAUUCACAUCACAGAAACUCGUUUUUGGAUGACAGUCAGUGCAAGAGAUAUAAUGAACUCUCUCUAAUGUCUCUUGCAUUGCUGUUAAAUAAAUCCAUAUGUGCUGUUGUUUGCUGUGCG
ensembl:lncRNA